GGGAGGUUGGUGGUGGACGCACUGCUCGCCAACCGGGUCAGGUCUGGAAAGAAGCAGCCCCAACGAGUUCUGGUACGGGUCAUCGUUCCAGCCUCCUAUCU
rnacentral:SRP_RNA from 1 species